CCCUACGGGGCGCAGCAGGCGCGAAAACUCUACAAUGCAGGCAACUGCGAUAGGGGAACAUCGAGUGGCUGUCAUAUUGAUAGUCUGUCCACCCGCCUAAAAAGCGGGUGUUAGCAAGGGCCGGGCAAGACCGGUGCCAGCCGCCGCGGUAAUACCGGCGGCUCGAGUGGUGGCCGAUAUUAUUGAGUCUAAAGGGUCCGUAGCCGGCUUUGCAAGUCCUUUGGGAAAUCCAGCGGCUUAACCGUUGGGCGGCCAAGGGAUACUACAUUGCUUGGGACUGGGAGAGGUAGGAGGUACUCAGGGGGUAGGAGUGAAGAUCCUGUAAUCCAAUCUCUAGUGAAAUUCAGCAGGGGNNCCA
rnacentral:rRNA from 1 species